UGCAUAGAUGCACCAGAGUCAAUCAACCAUAUUGAAUUAAGAAUAUUUACUAAAUUGGAUUCAAAACCUAUAAGGGAGUAAAAGGCAUCUUUCUUUUGCAGUCAUUUUUCAUGCUUUAUGUAGUUUUUCUUCGGGUGCCCCUUCUUUUUGUAGAAGUAUUUAACAACUUUAUUAGUGAUUUCAUCUGGUGUCAUAGCUAAUACUUUUUUUCUUUUGCUUUGCCUAUACCUUUUCUUUUACUUAUUUUCUCACUGACCUAAUGUGAAGCCAAGUUUACGCUCUCUAUCUUCUGCCCUCUCAAUCUCUCCUCCUCUUGCA
rnacentral:lncRNA from 1 species